rnacentral:rRNA from 1 species
UUGGUUAAGUUAGAAAGGGCGCACGGUGGAUGCCUUGGCACUAGGAGCCGAAGAAGGACGGGACUAACACCGAUAUGCUUUGGGGAGCUGUACGUAAGCGUUGAUCCAGAGAUUUCCGAAUGGGGGAACCCACUAUCUUUAGUCGGAUAGUAUCCUUACGUGAAUACAUAGCGUGAGGAAGGCAGACCCAGGGAACUGAAACAUCUAAGUACCUGGAGGAAGAGAAAGAAAAAUCGAUUUCCUGAGUAGCGGCGAGCGAAACGGAAAGAGCCCAAACCAAGAAGCUUGCUUCUUGGGGUUGUAGGACACUCUAUACGGAGUUACAAAAGAAAGUUAUAAAUGAAGCGGUCUGGAAAGGCCCGCCAAAGACGGUAACAGCCCGGUAGUUGAAAUGGCUUUCCCUCCAGAGUGGAUCCUGAGUACGGCGGAACACGUGAAAUUCCGUCGGAAUCCGGGAGGACCAUCUCCCAAGGCUAAAUACUCCCUAGUGACCGAUAGUGAACCAGUACCGUGAGGGAAAGGUGAAAAGCACCCCGGAAGGGGAGUGAAACAGUUCCUGAAACCGUGUGCCUACAAGUAGUUAGAGCCCGUUAAUGGGUGAUAGCGUGCCUUUUGUAGAAUGAACCGGCGAGUUACGAUUUGUUGCAAGGUUAAGCGGAAAAAGCGGAGCCGUAGCGAAAGCGAGUCUGAAUAGGGCGCAUAAGUAACAGGUCGUAGACCCGAAACCAGGUGAUCUACCCAUGUCCAGGAUGAAGGUAAGGUAAUACUUACUGGAGGUCCGAACCCACGCACGUUGAAAAGUGCGGGGAUGAGGUGUGGGUAGCGGAGAAAUUCCAAUCGAACUUGGAGAUAGCUGGUUCUCUCCGAAAUAGCUUUAGGGCUAGCCUCGAGGUAAAGAGUCAUGGAGGUAGAGCACUGUUUGGACUAGGGGCCCUUCUCGGGUUACCGAAUUCAGAUAAACUCCGAAUGCCAUGUACUUAUACUCGGGAGUCAGACUGCGAGUGAUAAGAUCCGUAGUCGAAAGGGAAACAGCCCAGACCACCAGUUAAGGUCCCCAAAUAUAUGUUAAGUGGAAAAGGAUGUGGGGUUGCUUAGACAACCAGGAUGUUGGCUUAGAAGCAGCCACCAUUGAAAGAGUGCGUAAUAGCUCACUGGUCGAGUGACCCCGCGCCGAAAAUGUACCGGGGCUAAACAUAUUACCGAAACUGUGGAUGAACCUCUUUAGAGGUUCGUGGUAGGAGAGCGUUCUAAGGGCGGUGAAGUCAGACCGGAAGGACUGGUGGAGCGCUUAGAAGUGAGAAUGCCGGUAUGAGUAGCGAAAGAAGGGUGAGAAUCCCUUCCACCGAAUAUCUAAGGUUUCCUGAGGAAGGCUCGUCCGCUCAGGGUUAGUCGGGACCUAAGCCGAGGCCGAUAGGCGUAGGCGAUGGACAACAGGUAGAGAUUCCUGUACCAGUGCUAAUUGUUUAACCGAUGGGGUGACACAGAAGGAUAGGGAAUCGCACGAAUGGAAAUGUGCGUCCAAGCAGUGAGUGUGAGAAGUAGGCAAAUCCGCUUCUCGCGAAGCAUGAGCUGUG